CGUGAGAUGUUGGUUUAAGUACCCUAACGAGCGCAACCCUUACUGCCAGUUACAAGUGUCUGGCGGGACUGCCGGCCACAAGCCGGAGGAAGGCGAGGAUGACGUCAAGUCAGCAUGGCCUUUAUAUCUGGGGCUACACACACGCUACAAUGGGACGGAACAAUGGGUAGCCAAGCCGUGAGGCGGAGCCAAUCCUCAAAACGUUCCUCAGUUCAGAUUGCAGGCUGCAACCCGCCUGCA
rnacentral:rRNA from 1 species